rnacentral:rRNA from 1 species
UAGCAGGGGGGGCAAGCGUUGUUCGGAAUUACUGGGCGUAAAGGGCUCGUAGGUGGCCGACUAAGUCAGACGUGAAAUCCCUCAGCUUAACUGGGGAACUGCGUCUGAUACUGGAUGGCUUGAGUUUGGGAGAGGGAUGCGGAAUUCCAGGUGUAGCGGUGAAAUGCGCAGAUAUCAGGAGGAACACCAACGGCGAAGGCAGCUCGCUGGGACGGAACUGACGCUGAGGCGCGAAAGCGUGGGGAGCGAACAGG